rnacentral:lncRNA from 1 species
AGAUUCAAGCCCUUUUCUCUUUAAAAGAGGUAUUUUGGUAAUUAUGUAGUAUCAACUUUAUAAAUUACUACUCUUAUAGAUUAAAUUCUGAUUUCAUUGUUUCAUUUUCUCCCAGGUUUUGCAAGUCUCAUUCAUUGUUGCUUUCCUCAGACACAAGAAUAGAGUUUAUGCAGAAACGUGACCUCUGGAUUUUAAUUUGACUAGAAGAAACCAGUUAAUUUUCAAAAUAAUCAUGUCAUAUUAUUUUACUCUAUUAUUGUUUGGAUACGUAUCCGUCAAAGGAUUAUAGACUAUGUUAAAGACUUUGUUCACAAUUGGUGGCUCUCUUGGGAGGAGAUAGAACCUUUAAGAGGUGAAGCUACUAAGAGGUUUUCUGGUCACUGAAGGCAUGUCCUUGAAGUAGAUAUUCGAAUCCCAGCCUCUUCAUAUGGCAUUCUUUCAUGUCUCAGACACAAAAUGAACUUUACUACACCACGUGGUCCCCACCAAAGGCUAAAAAGUAAUGGGGCUAAUUGGUUAUGGACUAAAAUCUUUGAAACCAUGAGCUGAAAUGGAAUUUUUCUUAUAUUUUCUCAGGUAUUUGUCAUGGUAACAAAAAGCUAUAUUAUAUGUAAUAUGGAAUUAUUGAACAUGUAUAAUAAAAAUUAAUGAAAUUUUAAAAUUUUCCACAAAAUGAUAUUUUUGAUCAAUUUAUCAGAAAAAAUGGAUAAAUUUUUCUAUUUAGCACUUUAUCUUAUGUAAUGAAGUUUCACCAUAUAAUUUGCAUUUUUUUAUGUAGAAAAUAUACCUGUAUGGUGUUUGGAAAAAGUAUUUUUAACACGUAAGCAUUUGCGAAUCUUAAGAAAAAAAACAGAUUUAUACAAGAAUGUAAAGAAAGAUUGAAAAUCCUCAUUAAAUCCUUAUUCUGAAUUAAUCGUUUAUUGUCCUUUUCAGAUAAUGCUUACAACUAGAUUAUAAACUUAACAUUAGAGAUAACGUGGUAAUAAUAUAAUAUUAAAAUAACUGAAUUUUAAAAUUCAAACUAAAAUUAUUUUUAACUAAUACAUAGAAACAUAAAAAUUGUACAUAUUAAUGCAAAGCUAAUGAUUGAUAGCAAUGGAAAUAGUGAAUUGUUAAUUAUAGCAAAAACAAUAUAUUCUAAAUGAUCACUGAAAUUUCAUGUCUUUCGUUGCCUCCUCCUUUCUUCCCUUUCUUCCUAAUUUUUUCAAUGCAUGUGUACAUGGUUCUCUGAAGGAUAAAAAUAACCAGUUUGUCCUAUUUUCCUAAUAAUAUAUGAGAAGAAAAAUAUGAGUUCCUUGAAAACCAAAAGUUCUUUACAGAUAUGACAUAUUACCAUUGUUGUCUUUAAGGGUAAAAGGCUAUCUUGACCUUGAAAAGAUAGAUUGACUGAUGAUCCAACUCCUAUAGAUGGCUCAUUUUCAUUUGCUAAUUCAAUUAAAUCUUCUUUCAUC